AUGAACGCUGGCGGCGUGCCUAAUACAUGCAAGUCGCGCGAACAGACGAGGAGCUUGCUCCUCUGACGUUAGCGGCGGACGGGUGAGUAACACGUGGAUAACCUACCUAUAAGACUGGGAUAACUUCGGGAAACCGGAGCUAAUACCGGAUAAUAUAUUGAACCGCAUGGUUCAAUAGUGAAAGACGGUUUUGCUGUCACUUAUAGAUGGAUCCGCGCCGCAUUAGCUAGUUGGUAAGGUAACGGCUUACCAAGGCGACGAUGCGUAGCCGACCUGAGAGGGUGAUCGGCCACACUGGAACUGAGACACGGUCCAGACUCCUACGGGAGGCAGCAGUAGGGAAUCUUCCGCAAUGGGCGAAAGCCUGAUGGAGCAACGCCGCGUGAGUGAUGAAGGUCUUCGGAUCGUAAAACUCUGUUAUUAGGGAAGAACAAAUGUGUAAGUAACUAUGCACGUCUUGACGGUACCUAAUCAGAAAGCCACGGCUAACUACGUG
rnacentral:rRNA from 1 species